CGACGUAGGGUGCGAGCGUUGCCCGGAUUCACUGGGUGUAAAGGGUACGUAGGCGGGCUGGAAAGUCUGAUGUGAAAGCCUUCGGCUCAACCGAAGAAGUGCAUCAGAUACUUCUGGCCUAGAGGACGGAAGAGGGGAGUGGAACUCCUGGUGUAGCGGUAAAAUGCGUGGAUAUCAGGAGGAACGCCAAUGGCGAAGGCAGCUCUCUGGGACGUUCCUGACGCUGAGGUACGAAAGCCAGGGUAGCGAACCGGAUUAGAUACCCCAGUAGUCC
rnacentral:rRNA from 1 species